rnacentral:lncRNA from 1 species
UCUAGGUUUGUCUGCAUUUGCUUUACAGGAGUGGUCACCAUCUCACAACUUGAAGAGCCUGAGAAAGAAGCAACUUGCAACUCGAGAGGCCAUGGCCCGCCAGACCGUAGUCUCAGACACAGAGCUGAGUAUUGUUGAAUCAUCUGUGAUCAGCUUGCUGCAGGAGGCAGAAAGUAAAUCUGAACUUAGUCAGAACAUCUCUGCCCGGGAACAUUUUGUAUUUACCGAUAUUGAUGGCCAAGUGUAUCAUCUCACUGUUGAAGGAAACUCAGUAAAAGACAGUGCUCGGAUUCCACCAGAUGCAUUACCCUGAAGGAUUUGACUUACAAUCUAGUAUUAUUUUUGGAUAAUAGUAAUCAGGGAAGUAUGGGUAGUAUUACCUGCAUCGCUUGGAAAGGUGAUACAUUAGUGCUUGGAGAUAUGGAUGGAAAUUUAAAUUUCUGGGACUUGAAAGGCAGAGUAUCCAGAGGAAUACCCACACACCGAAGUUGGGUGAGGAAGAUUCGUUUUGCUCCUGGUAAAGGAAAUCAAAA